rnacentral:rRNA from 1 species
AUGGAACAACCAGAUGGGUUUGUAAUAGAUGGUCAGGAAGGGAAAGUGUGCAAGUUGUUGAAGUCUUUGUAUGGACUCAAGCAAGCACCCAAACGGUGGCAUGAGAAGUUCGAAAGAACUUUAACAGCUGCAGGCUUUGUUGUGAACGAAGCUGACAAAUGUGUGUACUAUCGCCAUGGUGGAACAAAUCUGAAUGUUAUUAAGGAGGUCAAGGAUUUCCUAUCUCGUUGUUUUGAGAUGAAGGAUUUAGGAGUGGCUGAUGUCAUUCUGAACAUCAAGUUGUUGAGAGACGAUGAUGGUGGGAUUACAUUGCUUCAAUCCCACUAUGUGGAAAAGAUCUUGAGUCGCUUUGGCUAUAGCGACUACGAGCCCUCUCCAACACCAUAUGAUGCUAGCGUGCUGCUUCGAAAGAAUCGAAGAAUUGCUAGAGAUCAAUUGAAGUAUUCUCAGAUUAUUGGCUCGCUUAUGUACUUAGCUAGUGCUACAAGACCUGACAUCUCUUUUGCUGUUAGCAAACUGAGUCGGUUUGUCUCAAAACCAGGAGAUGUGCAUUGGAAAGCUCUAGAGAGAGUUUUGCAUUAUUUGAAAGGCACUGCGAAUUAUGGAAUUCACUACACCGGGCACCCAAAGGUGCUUGAAGGGUAUAGUGACUCAAACUGGAUCUCAGAUGCUGAUGAGAUAAAGGCCACGAGCGGAUAUGUAUUCACUCAUGGAGGUGGCGCUGUUUCUUGGAAGUCUUGCAAGCAGACCAUCUUAACGAGGUCAACAAUGGAAGCAGAACUCACAGCACUAGAUACAGCUACGGUCGAAGCAGAUUGGCUUCGUCGGCUCUUGAAUGACUUGCCGGUAGUUGAGAAAUAUGUACCGGAUCCUUUUACUAAGGGUCUAUCACGU